rnacentral:rRNA from 1 species
CUUAUAUUCUGUAGCAAGGUUAACCGUAUAGGGGAGCCGAAGGGAAACCGAGUCUUAACUGGGCGUUAAGUUGCAGGGUAUAGACCCGAAACCCGGUGAUCUAGCCAUGGGCAGGUUGAAGGUUGGGUAACACUAACUGGAGGACCGAACCGACUAAUGUUGAAAAAUUAGCGGAUGACUUGUGGCUGGGGGUGAAAGGCCAAUCAAACCGGGAGAUAGCUGGUUCUCCCCGAAAGCUAUUUAGGUAGCGCCUCGUGAACUCAUCUUCGGGGGUAGAGCACUGUUUCGGCUAGGGGGUCAUCCCGACUUACCAACCCGAUGCAAACUGCGAAUACCGAAGAAUGUUAUCACGGGAGACACACGGCGGGUGCUAACGUCCGUCGUGAAGAGGGAAACAACCCAGACCGCCAGCUAAGGUCCCAAAGUCACAGUUAAGUGGGAAACGAUGUGGGAAGGCUCAGACAGCCAGGAUGUUGGCUUAGAAGCAGCCAUCAUUUAAAGAAAGCGUAAUAGCUCACUGGUCGAGUCGGCCUGCGCGGAAGAUGUAACGGGGCUAAACUGUGCACCGAAGCUGCGGCAGCGACGCUUAUGCGUUGUUGGGUAGGGGAGCGUUCUGUAAGCCUGCGAAGGUGUCCUGUGAGGGAUGCUGGAGGUAUCAGAAGUGCGAAUGCUGACAUAAGUAACGAUAAUGCGGGUGAAAAGCCCGCUCGCCGGAAGACCAAGGGUUCCUGUCCAACGUUAAUCGGGGCAGGGUGAGUCGACCCCUAAGGCGAGGCCGAAAGGCGUAGUCGAUGGGAAACGGGUUAAUAUUCCCGUACUUGGUGUUACUGCGAAGGGGGGACGGAGAAGGCUAUGUUGGCCGGGCGACGGUUGUCCCGGUUUAAGCGUGUAGGUGUGUGUUCCAGGUAAAUCCGGU